rnacentral:rRNA from 1 species
AACAGGAUUAGAUACCCUGGUAGUCCACGCCGUAAACGAUGUCGACUUGGAGGUUGUGCCCUUGAGGCGUGGCUUCCGGAGCUAACGCGUUAAGUCGACCGCCUGGGGAGUACGGCCGCAAGGUCAAAACUCAAAUGAAUUGACGGGGGCCCGCACAAGCGGUGGAGCAUGUGGUUUAAUUCGAUGCAACGCGAAGAACCUUACCUACUCUUGGCAUCCAGAGAACUUUCCAGAGAUGGAUUGGUGCCUUCGGGAACUCUGAGACAGGUGCUGCAUGGCUGUCGUCAGCUCGUGUUGUGAAAUGUUGGGUUAAGUCCCGCAACGAGCGCAACCCUUAUCCUUUGUUGCCAGCGAUUCGGUCGGGAACUCAAAGGAGACUGCCAGUGAUAAACUGGAGGAGGGUGGGGAUGACGUCAAGUCAUCAUGGCCCUUACGAGUAGGGCUACACACGUGCUACAAUGGCAUAUACAAAGAGAAGCGACCUCGCGAGAGCAAGCGGACCUCAUAAAGUAUGUCGUAGUCCGGAUUGGAGUCUGCAACUCGACUCCAUGAAGUCGGAAUCGCUAGUAAUCGUGGAUCAGAAUGCCACGGUGAAUACGUUCCCGGGCCUUGUACACACCGCCCGUCACACCAUGGGAGUGGGUUGCAAAAGAAGUAGGUAGCUUAACCUUCGGGAGGGCGCUUACCACUUUGUGAUUCAUGACUGGGGUGAAGUCGUAACAAGGUAACC